UACGUAGGGUGCGAGCGUUGUCCGGAAUUAUUGGGCGUAAAGAGCUCGUAGGUGGUUUGUCGCGUUGUUCGUGAAAACUCACAACUCAAUUGUGGGCGUGCGGGCGAUACGGGCAGACUGGAGUACUGCAGGGGAGACUGGAAUUCCUGGUGUAGCGGUGGAAUGCGCAGAUAUCAGGAGGAACACCGGUGGCGAAGGCGGGCAUCCUG
rnacentral:rRNA from 1 species